UUUGUCCCGGCAAGUCCUACACAACCAGCUCCUGUUUAAUCCCCCAGGGUGGGAACGCAGCAAGGGUAUAUGGUCGUAGCGGUGUGAUGUAGUGUACUUGCCAUUUU
rfam:Cryomorphaceae bacterium BACL21 MAG-121220-bin10 contig00081.0_to_1_1_121220-bin10, whole genome shotgun sequence.